AGUGAGGCGUCCGGACUGGCCCAGAGUGGUGGGCAACUACCGCUCAGGGCCGGAAAGCUCUCCAAACUCGGUCAUUUAGAGGAAGUAAAAGUCGUAACAAGGUCUCCGUUGGUGAACCAGCGGAGGGAUCAUUA
rnacentral:ncRNA from 1 species